UGUUUAUCGCAUGCUCGUGUAAGCAGCCGCGAAAUGAUGAUAUUUGAAAGGCUGAAAUUGAAAAUUUAGUAGCUUUAAUUGUUUUAAAUAGAACGGCAAAAAUAACAAUAAAAUACUUAUAAGAAAAUAAAUAGAAAAUAAAUAACAUAAUAAAAUGUGCAGGUAUUGGCUCAAAUUUUUAGGUUUCUUUUAAUUAUUAUUCGUUCAACGAGAUCAUACUUGUUAUACGACGAGUUUCGUUCGUUCUGCGCAUGUUAGCUCUGAUUGGCUUAAGCAUGCCUCGUCUGCGCAAGCGCCCCGGGAUAUUGCGCAUAUACCCAGCGAUCUUAUAUUCAGUAUACUCUUCGACCUUCGACGUUGUUAGUUCUUUGUUCCUUGUAUUCAAAUAUUUUUGUGCACCAUGUAUACGACCACGAAGUUAGAGGCAAGAGUGGAGGGCCUUCCUGAGCUGCGUGAACAGGCCAUUCGUAAGACGACCCUCGACAAACGAUUAUGAACUAUAAUCUGUUUACAAAGGCUGAUUUUAUCCAACUCAACGCUACCAUUCGAGCCGUUUCGUUUUCAUCCCAAGAAACAAGCAUCAUUACCUAUAUAAUGUACAUAACAAGCGUCGUCGUAUGGCUGGAAGUGUUCCGGAUCGAUCAGUAUUCGAAAUAUAAUACUGAUAACAAUCUGCUGAUAUCGACACGUCCGUUACGACAGUAGAAACGUUCUCCAGUUAACCAGAAACACUAUUUUCCCUAUAAAUAUCUGAAAAUGGAUCAAUAAGUUAACACGUUCAACUUGGCAAAUGAUAAUCAGAAAUUCUAUUUCUCAUAUAUUCAAAUAAUCAUCCAAGAAUUUUAAUCCGUAAGAUUUUAAAAUUACGUAAAUUUCAAGUAAUUCAUCUGUAAUAAAAAAAGAAGUUUAAUCCUAUCUUGUGCAAUUAAAAAGAAAACAAAGAAUUCUUUGAAACAGCCAAGUUUAUUUCAUAAGGCAUCAUUGAGGAAAUAACAUAAUGCCUUAUUUCAGAUAGUCUGUUCUUUCAUAUGGUAAAAUGUUCAUCUUUCAUUUAAUAAUCGUAAAGGGUUACGUAAUUUGAAUGAUAUAAAAAUUAAUUCUACUUUAUCUUGUUAUGUAUUUCAAUUUUACUUUAAAUAUUUACUUUUAAAAAUAAAUUGAAGUAUUGGAAUAAAUUGGUACCAAUUGAUAUGAAGAUGGUGUCUCACCAUCUUUAAUGAUUGUUCCGAUAUAUGUAUUUAAAUGUUUAUAAUGAAUUAGAAAUUUAUAUCGGUAUAUUCAGGAGUAUCUUCUUUCUUUUAAAUCAAUUUUCUUAAAUAUUGAGGGUGACGGAGAAAAACAUUUUGCAGAUACGUAAUCAGUGCAUAAGUCUAGAAAGAACAGAUACCUACUAGACAAUAUUAUUAAAUUGUACUUAAUUAAUUUAUUUACGUUACAAAUGAGAUUACGUAAACCUGUCUUAAAUAUUAAAUGGAAUUUAACCGACAGUUCAGUCCAUCAUUCGUGAAGGGUGAUAGUUGAACUCUGUCCAAUACUUAAAGUAAAUUGAAGUAGAAUUGGACUGUGGGAACGACCAUCAUCAUACAUGUACCAACAUAAUAGUCAUCAACAACUACCUUCAAGUUCCGUAUCCCUUCAAUUUGAAAUUUAUGAAUACUAAAAUGUUUUUAUAUAUGAAAAGUUUCAUAAGAUUCGCAAUAUUUUAAUGAUUUCAAUAUAAGAAUUUAUUAAAAAAAAAA